rnacentral:rRNA from 1 species
UAAUGAAUUUUGGACAAUGCCCGCAAGGGUGAUCCAGCCAUGCCGCGUGCAGGAAGACGGCCCUAUGGGUUGUAAACUGCUUUUACACCGGAGAAAACCUCCCCUCGUGAAGGGAGCUGAUGGUAUGGUUAGAAUAAGCAUCGGCUAACUUCGUGCCAGCAGCCGCGGUAAGACGAAGGAUGCAAGCGUUAUCCGGAUUCAUUGGGUUUAAAGGGAGCGUAGGUGGCCUUAUAAGUCAGUGGUGAAAUCUCUGAGCUUAACCCAGGAAUUGCCAUUGAUACUGUAGCGCUUGAGUACAGUUGCUGUAAGCGGAAUAUGACAUGUAGUGGUGAAAUGCAUAGAGAUGUCAUAGAACACCGAUUGCGAAGGCAGCGCACAACACUGUAAUUGACGCUGAGGCGCGAAAGCGUGGGGAUCAAACA